CAUAUUGCCAUAUCAUUUUUCUUUCACAGGUUUAAUCUGAGCCGUUCUACCCAUACGUUCAUCUUUUAUUCUAACCCUAGGCCGUCCCAAAUUCUAACCCUCGCAUUUGUUUGCAUCUCUGUAUAGAUUACAAUCGACUGCCUCUAACCUUGUCGCAUCUCUGAUUGAGACUUCCUUGCUCUCUCUGGUGUGGUUGAAGCUUGACUACCUGGUUGACUGAUAUAUACAAGUACAAAAUGUUUUUUGAUGGAUAUGGAUAUCAUGGAACGUCAUUUGAGCAAACUUAUCGAUGUUACCCUGCAUCAUUUAUUGAAAAGCCUCAGAUUGAAAGUGGUGAUAAAAUUAUAAUGCCUCCCUCAGCCCUUGAUCGCCUCGCAUCUUUGCAUAUUGAUUAUCCAAUGUUGUUUGAGCUUCGUAAUGAUGCUGCUGAGCGGGUCUCUCAUUGUGGGGUUCUGGAGUUUGUUGCAGAAGAAGGCAUGAUUUAUAUGCCAUACUGGAUGAUGGAGAACCUCCUCUUGCAAGAGGGAGAUAUAGUGCGAGUGAAAAAUGCAACUCUUCCAAAGGGAACAUAUGUUAAAUUACAACCUCACACAAAGGAUUUUCUGGACAUAUCCAAUCCAAAAGCUAUCCUAGAAACAACAUUAAGGAAUUAUUCUUGCUUAACAACUGGAGACAGUAUUAUGGUGGCAUAUAA
rnacentral:misc_RNA from 1 species